CCUACGGGCGGCAGCAGUGGGGAAUAUUGCGCAAUGGGCGAAAGCCUGACGCAGCGACGCCGCGUGAGGGAUGAAGGUCUUCGGAUCGUACACCUCUGUCAGCAGGGAAGCACGGUAACUGUGCUAAUCAGCAGUGAAUUGACGGUACCUGCAAAGGCAGCACCGGCUAACUCCGUGCCAGCAGCCGCGGUCAUACGGAGGGUGCGAGCGUUAAUCGGAAUUACUGGGCGUAAAGCGCUCGUAGGAUGUACGGCAAGUCAAGGGUGAAAUCCCCGCGCUCAACGUGGGAACUGCCUUUGAAAGUGGCAAACUGGAGUGUGUGAGAGGAUAGUUGAAUUCCAGGUGUAGGAG
rnacentral:rRNA from 1 species